rnacentral:misc_RNA from 1 species
ACACCUCAACUCUCAUGGGUUUGCCAUGAUGAGCUUGGACUUCUGGGGGUUUUGCUGGCCUAUCGUCGGCUCCUCUCAAAUGAAUCAGCUUUCCAGUGUUUGGUGGCAUCACAGGUGUGAUAACUAUCUGCGCUUGUGGUGUUCCACCAGGUGACCUUCAGCGAUGGAGGUUUGCUGGAGCUCAUAAACGUCUCUCUUUGGCGAGGGACAUCGUUUUUGAACGU